AACGAACGCUGGCGGCAUGCCUAACACAUGCAAGUCGAACGAGACCUUCGGGUCUAGUGGCGCACGGGUGCGUAACGCGUGGGAAUCUGCCCUUGGGUUCGGAAUAACAGUUAGAAAUGACUGCUAAUACCGGAUAAUGUCUUCGGACCAAAGAUUUAUCGCCCAGGGAUGAGCCCGCGUAGGAUUAGCUAGUUGGUGAGGUAAAGGCUCACCAAGGCGACGAUCCUUAGCUGGUCUGAGAGGAUGAUCAGCCACACUGGGACGUGAGACACGGCCCAGACUCCUACGGAGGC
rnacentral:rRNA from 1 species